rfam:Myotis lucifugus cont2.25228, whole genome shotgun sequence.
CAUGCACUGGUGGGGUCCCUCAGCCUGGUCUGCACCCUCUCACUAUCUGGGACCUCUUGGGGGAUGUUGGAGAGCUGAUUUCAGUCCGAUCCUGCAGGCCUGGCUGAGGGACCCCACUGGUGCAUG